rnacentral:rRNA from 1 species
CNNCGGGCUNANNUCCCNNNCCAGCAGCNGGCGGUUAAUUACGGAAGGGUGCGAGCCGUUNNNNNCAAUUUACUGGGCGUAAAGCGCAUNCCAGGUUGGUUUGUUAAAGUCCAGAUGGUGAAAGCCCCGGGGCUCAACCUNGGAAUUGCAUUUGAAACUGGCAAACUAGAGUACUGUAGAGGGGGGUAGAAUUCCAGGUGUAGCGGUGAAAUGCGUAGAGAUCUGAAGGAAUACCGGUGGCGAAGGCGGCCCCCUGGACAGAUANNGACANUCAGAUGCGAAAGCGUGGGGAGCAAACAGGAUUAGAUACCCUGGUAGUCCACGCCGUAAACGAUGUCUACUUGGAGGUUGUGGCCUUGAGCCCGUGGCUUUCGGAGCUAACGCGUUAAGUAGACCGCCUGGGGAGUACGGUCGCAAGAUUAAAACUCAAAUGAAUUGACGGGGGCCCGCACAAGCGGUGGAGCAUGUGGUUUAAUUCGAUGCAACGCGAAGAACCUUACCUACUCUUGACAUCUACAGAAGCCAGCGGAGACGCAGGUGUGCCUUCGGGAACUGUAAGACAGGUGCUGCAUGGCUGUCGUCAGCUCGUGUUGUGAAAUGUUGGGUUAAGUCCCGCAACGAGCGCAACCCUUAUCCUUGUUUGCCAGCACUUCGGGUGGGAACUCCAGGGAGACUGCCGGUGAUAAACCGGAGGAAGGUGGGGACGACGUCAAGUCAUCAUGGCCCUUACGAGUAGGGCUACACACGUGCUACAAUGGCGCAUACAGAGGGCGGCCAACUUGCGAAAGUGAGCGAAUCCCAAAAAGUGCGUCGUAGUCCGGAUUGGAGUCUGCAACUCGACUCCAUGAAGUCGGAAUCGCUAGUAAUCGUGGAUCAGAAUGCCACGGUGAAUACGUUCCCGGGCCUUGUACACACCGCCCGUCACACCAUGGGAGUGGGCUGCAAAAGAAGUGGGUAGUUUAACCUUCGGGAGGACGCUCACCACUUUGUGGUUCAUGACUGGGGUGAAGUCGUAACAAGGUAACCG